rnacentral:tRNA from 1 species
GCCUGGGUGGCUCAGUCGGUUAAGCGUCCGACUUCGGCUCAGGUCAUGAUCUUACGGUCCGUGGGUUCGAGCCCCGCGUCAGGCU